GACGAACGCUGGCGGCAGGCCUAACACAUGCAAGUCGAGCGAGCGGCGGACGGGUGAGUAAUGUCUGGGAAACUGCCUGAUGGAGGGGGAUAACUACUGGAAACGGUAGCUAAUACCGCAUACCAUCAGAUGUGCCCAGAUGGGAGUAGCUCGUAGGUGGGGUAACGGCUCACCGAGGCGACGCGCCCUGGCUGGGCUGAGAGGAUGAGCAGACAAACUGGAACUGAGACACGGUCCAGCGUCCUACGGGAGGCAGCAGUGGGGAAGAUUGCACAAUGGGCGCAAGCCUGAAGCAGCCAUGCCGCGAGUGUGAAGAAGGCCUUCGGGUUGUAAAGCACUUUCAGCGGGGAGGCGUUACCCGCAGAAGAAGCACCGGCUAACUCCGUGCCAGCAGCCGCGGUAAUAC
rnacentral:rRNA from 1 species